rnacentral:lncRNA from 1 species
UUUGUCCACUCCUCUUAUAGUCUCCACUGGAUUUCUCAAGUACGUUUCAUAUAUAAUAUAGAUAAUAUGAUUCUUAUCUAUAUUUAACCUAUUUUAAUUUUAAAAUAAUUUAUUAUUUAAUCCAUCUUUUAAUAGAUAAAAUUAGUGAGUAACUAUUUCUUUUUAAUCAUUUUGCCACUAUUAAAUGUAUCUAACCACUCUUCCCCUCCAUGCAAGACUGCUUAGGAACAUGUGUGAAUUGAUUGAGUGGUUAAGGACUAGAUUCUUCUCCCAACUCUUAGUGCGCAUGUCAUUCUUGUCAGAUACAACCUUUUCAAAAGUUUUAACAGAUUUAUAUUGAAUGAAAUUUUUUUAUAAAAUGGGGAAAAAGUCUGUAUAUAUAUUAUCUUUUUCAAAACCUGUUUUUCAUAUCUCACUGGAUUAUUUUUGUAAUUCCAAUCUUUAAUUUUUCUCUUUUUAAAUUAUUAUUUGAAAUCAUAUGUAUAUAUAGGCUUCAUAAGUCUAUCCAGGAUAAGGUUCAACGAAAAGGUUUAAAAAUAUCACUCAAAUAUCAGAAUGGCCUAUUUAUGCCAUAUGUUAAAAGGUCGUUAUUUCCAUAUCGCUACCAUUACACUUUUAGCUUAUUUAUGCUGUUGUCUACUAAUAAUUCUAAUUUUUGAUUUUUAAAUAAUAAUAAUCAAUGUUUUGACCCUAUAUUUACGACGUGUCUUUAUAUUAUUAGUUCUUCUUUACUUGACCCACCAUUUCUUUAAUCUUUGUUGCCAUAUGAGGAGAUGGAUGUUACUAUUAGAAUAUAUUGUGUGUAUCUUUUUAUUAUUGAUAAAUAUUCUUUCAUUAUUGUACAGUCCUAUUGUUGGUAGGAUUUGAUACCUCUCUGUACUCUAUAUAUNNNNNNNNNNNNNNNNNNNNNNNNNNNNNNNNNNNNNNNAUUUGAUACCUCUCUGUACUCUAUAUAUACUUGUGAGCAAUACGAGAAAAUUAAUUCUCCCAAAACUCUCUACAUGGUAUCAUACGCCAGUGGCUUAACGCCAAAGAAACCCUAAUUCUUCCCUACCCGCGUCGCCGCCGCUGCUGCACUAAUCGGCAGCCCGCCGCCGCCGACCUUCUCGGUCAACCGCCUCUCUCCGGCGUCUUGCCGCGCCGCCACUGCACUAACCGGCAGCCCUCUCUCUCUCGACGCCGAUCAGCGCCUUCUCUCCUUUGCCUCGCGCUUCAUGGCCGCUACGACAUCCAACGAUCUUCUNNN